GGAGGUGUAGCUCAGUGGUGGAGCAUGUGCUUAGCAUGCGAGAGCCCCUGGGUUCUAUCCCCAGCACCACCA
rnacentral:tRNA from 1 species